rnacentral:lncRNA from 9 species
GGACGCUCUGUCUGAGGCAGAACUGGCGGCCGCACCCGGGCUCCUAGAGGCACAAUACAGUCUCUUGUUGCUGUCCUGGGCCUAGGCUUCUGAGAAGGAGAAGUCAAGAGUUUGAUGUCUUUGUCAUCCCUGCUCGGGCAGCAGGAUACUUUCCCAGAGGCCAUGGAGACAGGACGCCUAGGUGCCCAAGCACUGCAGAGAUGGAUUCCAGUGGGAGAUGCCAAAACUCAUUUUUCUGGCUGCAGUUCUCGGACAAGACUUGACCUCUUCCAGUUGGGACUCCCUGCAGCAAAUCACAUUACACAGCUGUGCCUUUAGAACAAUGAGACACACCUAGAGGAUCAGACCAGGAUGCCAAGAAAAUGUCCACACAGAGAAACAGUAAACACUCUGACAUCAUAUGAACUGAUUGGCUUCCUAUAUUCUGAGGUCUUUUUAUAGAGAUUUCACUCAGAUAAAAAUGCAAGCCGCUGAACCAUAUGCCUAAGUGUUUUCUCUACGCUGCUGGCCUGAGCAGCUGGCAAAACACGAUCUAGGACUGAUAAACUAUCCUGACAAAAGCACUUCAGAGAGGUCUGCAGGCUGGGGUCUGAAAGAGGUCUGAAUUUUAAAAAGGUACUAAUUGCUCAAAGGAUGGAACAGUUCCUCCGAAAUCUAACCCGGUACCUUAAUAGAACCCAUUAAGGCACUGUGAGAAUCAUAGAGAGAAAACAUGUCCCCAGUAAGGAAGGAUGACGUGGAAACGCACUGACCAGGACUUUUCAGGCACCGAUGAAUCCUUCAAGAACUGAAAGAAAAACUUGAUUUUAGCAACUGAGCAAGAAACAAAGGUGCGAAAGUCGAUCACAGAGGAACUAUUAGAGAUAAGGUUAAGGGUCUCUGUGCAAACGUGGAUGUCUGUGACCUCCAUCCUCCCAGCAGAUGUUGCCAAGGUCUGUUGGGAAGCCUGGGGGGGCGGGCAGUGCCCAAAGGGUGGGAAGGCAUGGCUUAGUCACACACUUGUGACCUCUGACCCUCCAGAGAGAGUAUGAGCUCCACAGCUGGGCCUGGCCUGCUCCUUUGGCACCUGCGGUGUGGAUUUCAUAUCAACAGUUGAUCGCUGUCUGACAGGACUUUAUUAAACAUACAGAACCCUACAUUACUGGGCAGUGAAUCCAAAGGAGGACUGAACCAAUCAGGGCUGAGGACUUGGGUGCCUGCUGCCAUGUUUUAUCUCAUCCCACUGCCUCCGCACCAGGGAUCUCAAUAAUUUCGGGCUCUCUGAUGAUGGCCUCUCAUCCCUAUGUUUUAUUUAAAGAGCUUGAAACUGGAAAAUGAGUGACCAUCUUUCUGCCUAACACUGAACACUAUGCUGGAGUAGAGCCCUCAGCUCUUGCUCCCCAUUGCCAAUGGCGUUUGUGAUCAGAACAGAUGAGCUGUAUCAAAUAACAAAGCCUAGUUCCUGGAUAGCUACUCUGUGUCCCAGAUGAACAAUUAAUCCAUUGCUGCUGUCUGCAAAAAUAUGAUCUAGACAAAUAACAACAUAAAAAACCACCCCAAGCUUAUUCAGUAUGCACACAUUGAUUUCUGGUGAUGUUUCCAGGAAUUAAUUGAGUAUAAAAUAUUAUGCAGAAAUGGGGGUAAUAGAGGGUAAUGAUUUUACAAAACACAGCAGUGAGCCCGGCCUCCCUUUACCCUCUCCUCCAUCCCCUUCUUCUCUGCCUGUUCCUUCCUCUGAGACAGGCAUGCACAGCCGGGGGAGUGGCUAAGAUUCCUAAAUGGAAGAUGAAUCAUGGGCAUGGGGUGCAGCUCCAUGUGGGCUCUGGGGGG